GAUGAACGCUAGCUACAUGCUUAACACAUGCAAGUCGAGCGGAAACGCUGAGCGUGCUUGCUCUCUUAGGCGUCGACCGGCGCACGGGUGAGUAACGCGUAUCCCACCUACCCGUUACAGGGGUAUAAAAUUGCGAAUGUAAGACUAAUACCCCAUGGCAUAUUGUGGUGGCUUCAUAGUAGGAUUAAAGAUUUAUUGGUAAUGGAUGGGGAUGCGUCUGGUUAGCUUGUUGGCGGGGUAACGGCCCACCAAGGCAACGGUCAGUAGGGGUUGUGAGGGGAAGGUCCCGCAAGUUGGAACUGAGACACUGUCCAAACGACUACGCGAGGACGCAGUGGGGAAGAUUGGGCAAGGGACGAGAGCUUGAACCAGCCAAGUAGAGUGCAGGAUGACGGGUGUAUGGGUUCUAACCUGCUGUUAUAGGGGAAUAUAGUGAGCGACGAGUCGUUUUUUGACUGUACCUAAUUAAUAAGCACCGGCUAACUCCGUG
rnacentral:rRNA from 1 species